CUCUUAUUAAGAGAGGUGGAGGGACGUGCCCUAUGAAGCCCGGCAACCAUCAGUUAUGUAACUGAAGUGGUGCCAAUUCACUCAAAAUGCUCAGGCAUUUUGAAAGAUGAGAG
rnacentral:ncRNA from 2 species